GUAGCCGGUGUAGCAAGUCCUCCGUUAAAUCCACUUGCUCAACAAGUGGGCUGCGGAGGAUACUGCUACACUAGGGGGCGGGAGAGGCGAGGGGUAUUCCACGGGUAGGGGUAAAAUCCUCUGAUCCGUGGAGGACCACCAGUGGCGAAGGCGCCUCGCCAGAACGCGCCCGACGGUGAGGGAUGAAAGCUGGGGGAGCAAACCGGAUUAGAUACCCGGGUAGUCCCAGCCGUAAACGAUGUAGGCUCGGUGAUGGGCUGGCUCCGAGCCAGCCCAGUGCCGCAGGGAAGCCGUUAAGCCUACCGCCUGGGGAGUACGGCCGCAAGGCUGAAACUUAAAGGAAUUGGCGGGGGAGCACCACAAGGGGUGAAGCCUGCGGUUCAAUUGGAGUCAACGCCGGGAAUCUUACCAGGGGCGACAGCAGGAUGAAGGUCAGGCUGAAGACCUUACCGGACGAGCUGAGAGGAGGUGCAUGGCCGUCGCCAGCUCGUGCCGUGAGGUGUCCUGUUAAGUCAGGCAACGAGCGAGACCCCCGUCCCUAAUUGCUACCAUCGUUCUCCGGAACGGUGAGGGGAAUUAGGGAGACUGCCGUUGCUAAAACGGAGGAAGGAGGGGGCCACGGCAGGUCAGUAUGCCCCGAAACCCCUGGGCCACACGCGGGCUGCAAUGGUAGGGACAACGGGUUCCGAACCCGAAAGGGUGAGGUAAUCCCUCAAACCCUACCCCAGUUAUGAUUGAGGGCUGGAACUCGCCCUCAUGAAUCUGGAAUCCCUAGUAAUCGCGUGUCAACAUCGCGCGGUGAAUACGUCCCUGCUCCUUGUACACACCGCCCGUCA
rnacentral:rRNA from 1 species